AACAAUUUAACGAUUUUCUUUGUAAUUUUAAGGCAGAUCAUAUUAUAUUUAUAUUAAUGUGUACUUUUACAUUCAAACUCUGUAAAUCUGAAUCUAAAUGUAGCUAACUUUUGUCAUUACAUUAAACAUAUUGCAUUUUUUUAAGAGUACAAAGUAGAAGAAAUAAUAGGUUUUGAUACUUGUUCUUUAUAGGAGCAUUAUAGGGCGACCGUGAGUAUUUGUCCAGUGUCGGUGUCCCGGAGCGAGACAUCUAACUUCUAACUGUAAGUCGCUUUUGGAUAAAAGCGCCAGCUAAAUGCAUGUAACAUGCUUGAAAGUUUCAACCUCAAGAGAGCAGUGCAGCAGAAACUUGCCAUAUAGGAUUUAGUGUCAACUAGAAAUAAGACCGUCACAAUGGCAAUGACCACCACGAGCGGAGUGCGACGCAUCCCAGAUAGCAGUUGAUCCUAUCCGCCCUCCUGUCACACUCGGUUUGGUCAUGCCACCGGAUCCGCGCACCAUCAGACAGCGUUGUAACUGCGGUGGAUGCUCCAAGUUGUUGCCCUUCGACUUUUCAAACUGGUAUUUUCAAAACUGCAGCUCUUUGCGCCAGAAGUACGAGUUAGUUGUACAGAAGUGACAACACUGUUGAUCGCCAUCUCUACAAUUCAGAUAAAAUGAACAGAAAGAAUGGGCCUGUCUCCAGCUCCACCAUUAGACGGAGGGUCCGUCAAGAUGUUUUGACUACAUCACUGUGAUUGAUGGGAAACUGAAUACAACUUUGACUGUUCAGUAAAGUUUCUUCUCUUCAAUGUGUAUAACACGCCUAUUAUUGCCGUUUAAUCUCUUUUUUACGGUAUACCUCGUGUUGUCAAACACACAUUUUCAUACUCCUGGUUAUUAAGAACUUUAAUAGUUGCAAAAUAUUAUUUUUUUCAAAGUUCUUGGAACAGAAGGUUAUAUUUCUGUGACAAGUGACACUGUUUGUUUCUUUCCUCUGUA